CACGUAGGGGGCGAGCGUUGUCCGGAAUCAUUGGGCGUAAAGCGCGUGUAGGCGGUUCGGUAAGUCUGCUGUGAAAGUCGGGGGCUCAACCCUCGAAUGCCGGUGGAUACUGUCGGACUAGAGUGCGGAAGAGGCGAGUGGAAUUCCUGGUGUAGCGGUGAAAUGCGCAGAUAUCAGGAGGAACACCAAUUGCGAAGGCAGCUCGCUGGGACGUUACUGACGCUGAGACGCGAAAGCGUGGGGAGCAAACAGG
rnacentral:rRNA from 1 species